rnacentral:rRNA from 1 species
AGUGAACGCUGGCGGUAGGCCUAACACAUGCAAGUCGAACGGCAGCACAGUAAGAGCUUGCUCUUACGGGUGGCGAGUGGCGGACGGGUGAGGAAUACAUCGGAAUCUACUUUUUCGUGGGGGAUAACGUAGGGAAACUUACGCUAAUACCGCAUACGACCUACGGGUGAAAGCAGGGGAUCUUCGGACCUUGCGCGAUUCAAUGAGCCGAUGUCGGAUUAGCUAGUUGGCGGGGUAAAGGCCCACCAAGGCGACGAUCCGUAGCUGGUCUGAGAGGAUGAUCAGCCACACUGGAACUGAGACACGGUCCAGACUCCUACGGGAGGCAGCAGUGGGGAAUAUUGGACAAUGGGCGCAAGCCUGAUCCAGCCAUACCGCGUGGGUGAAGAAGGCCUUCGGGUUGUAAAGCCCUUUUGUUGGGAAAGAAAAGCAGCAGGUUAAUACCCCGCAGUUCUGACGGUACCCAAAGAAUAAGCACCGGCUAACUUCGUG